rnacentral:rRNA from 1 species
GGUGCCAUGUGGGUGUAUAGCCCCCGGUACCCU